rnacentral:lncRNA from 1 species
UGCGUACAUUUAUUAUUGCGAUUUUUUCAUUUUGGACUAAAAUGCAAUUUUGAUUUUUCUGAUUUUGAGAAAAAUUCUGUUUAAUUCAUAUAAAAAAAAUGUCAAAAUGUAAGUUAAAUUAUUGUGAUUAUAACCCUGUCGCAAUUUUUGCAAUAAUUAAAACACCGCAAUAAUUUUGAUUUACAGUAUUAGAGAGAUUCAACUAGAAACACUAUUUUCUAGGUUUUACAACAAAGAGUGAUUUUUACUAGAUCAUGGAGUGUUUACUGUAGUCUGGUACUAUAUUUUGAAAUCUGGAUUUCUGCUCAGUUUUCUCUAAAUUCAAAUUUUUUGGGUGCAUUUAUUAUUUCGAAUUUUUAAAAAGAUGAAAAAAAAUGGGGGAAAUAUUGUUUACAAAUAAUGCAAUCAUUGCCACACACAUCCUGCAGCAAUUUUUCACCAAGAUGUCUGAAUUUACUAUUUAUCUGCUAUUCUUAUGUGCACCUUUGUCUUUAAUGAUUUGGUGAACAAUAUGUAUUCAAGUUUACAUAUAGAUGUAUUUGUUAAGUUUUCAUAUCAUGUCUUUGGUUGUAUGCUUUUAAACUUUUGUUGCUAUUAUAACUAUAACUUAUGUACUAAAAAUAUUGCAACCUUGUUCAGGGGAUAAUUUUGAAUCUUCUUUUAAAAUGAGCUGCGUCGGAUUGAAACUUAUCAUAGAGGGUUUGGAUGGGGUUAAAUGAUUAAAGAAUAAUGCCCUUAAAAAAUGAAGAUUAGAGAAUAACGGACAAAAAAAAUAAAGAUUAGAGAAAAAAGGGGUAAAUUUUUUGAAGAUUAGAGAGAAAAAAGGGGUUAAUUUUUUAAAGAUUAGAGAAAAAAGGGGUGAAAAUUAAAUGUUUACAGAAUAACAGACCCUCAUCUUAUGCAAAUGAAUAUUUAUACAUCUGUUAACCUAUUUUGGAUUUAAAAAAUGUCUACGGAAAGUCUGAAUUUAGCUGCUAUAAUAACCCUAUAAAACAGACAAAAUUCAUCAUUUUAUUUCUUAUUUGAAUAUUUAAAAAAUUAAAUUGACUAAAGUUUUAUAUAUUUAUAUGUAUACAAGCACUUGCAUAAGGUUGUUUCUAUCAGAUGCAGCUCAAAUAUUAUUUAAUGAUUACAUAUUUUUAAACUAGUUACAAGGUUCAAACUAGUUAUUUGAGCCAGUUUAUACAGUGGAAGAUUUAGGGAAAGGAGCCUAGAGGGCUUUACAAGGUUGCAACAGUACUAACAAAGUUUACAUACUUUAUACAAAUGUUUUGCAAUGAAUGUUGAAGAAAUUUUUUUAAUGUGGGUCAUUUCAGGGUUUUGUAGGUUUUUAUUUAAAAUGACUGAUCUUAAUCCCUUAAAUAAUUGCAUGUGUCUUGUUUUACUCUUAGCUCUGCCAGAAAUAGACUCUGCCCGACUUUGCAUCUUAAGUUUAUCAAGUCAACUGGGUUUCAAGAUAAUUAUGGACUUAGUGUAAUAAGAUUGAAUUGAUCAGUUUUAUGCAAUAACAUAGCUUUACUUUACCAGUAUUGGCUUUAUUAUAUCAUUUGAUUAUGUUAUCAGGUUUCCUCUCACCCUGCAUAUUCAUUAACUAUUUGCCACUGGACAUUAAGCAAACAACAACCAUUUGAAAUUUGACCUCUAUGGGUCAAUUUAUGCUUAUCAUAACAACAAAUAGAAUUUUUUGUUCCUUGAAAAUAAAAUCUGAGAAACAGUUAUAUUGAUUGAAAAAAUUUCAACAAUAUUGACCAAUUAUUUUUAUUUGAUGAAUAGUUCUUGAAUAUAUAUGAGGAUCUAGAGGGGGGAGUCCUGAAUUUCUGUAUAGUUAAAUUUUUCAGGCCAUUUUUCUCUAUCUAUACAAAUAAUGACAAUUUUGUAAUAAUUCUUGUACAAACAGAUUUUGCUGUUAAUCAUUUCUGAAAUUAAUUAUAUGAUUUCUUUAAUCUGUAGUUUAUUCAUUUCUGUAUUAUCCUUAUUGUAUUACAUAUUCUUUAAUUUUCUACAGAUAUUCUUUAAACUUUUGCAACCCAUUUUUCUCUCGAUUAUUUUUUAUGGUCAUUAUAUUAUUUUGCCAUUAUUUCCUAUUCUGUAAACCCCCAUCCAGACCCUCAUACAUCAAAUGAUACUUUUAAACAUCAAGAUAAGUUCCUUUGCUGCAAGUAUGAUCCUAUGGGAACCUACAUGAACAAAAAAUCAAGUUUUUUUUAUAUUACUGUAUACUGACCUGAGUUGACCAAUGGGAUUCAACUAACAAAAAAUAUAUAUAUAUUUUUUUUUUCCAUAAAGUAUUGUCUUAAGAAUUUUCACUAUUCCCUUACAACCUUUCCUGGAAUAACUAUAAUUCAUUAUCUAAAUCAAGUUAGGUUAUUUUAAACUGAAUUGGUCUGAAGUGUAGUCAUGAUCAUGAUGAUGUUAUCUAGAUAAUGUUGGGCAAAUUGUAGAUUCUUUGUUAGUAAUUUAAUUCAGCUAGAGUUAUUUCCCUUGGGCACAUUUUUUCUCUCAUGUAAUUUGUGUAUUUGAGAUUGACAAUGUCAACUAUGUUGAAACUUCAAAAUUAUGUUUAUUUUAUAAUAUGAGACAUUGGUUUGCUUAAAAAAUAUUUUAUUGUCAAUUGGCAACUAUGUGUCUAUUUUUUAUGACAAAUGCACACAAAAUAUCUUUUUAAAAGUCAACAUAAUUUGUAAAUGAAAGAAAUCUGAAGUUACUCUCGGGAUUGAAUAAGACUAAGUCUACACAUUACUGAAGUUUCAUGCUUUAAUUUUUUUAUUUUUAUUAUUCAGGAUCAUACGAUUGUAACAAUUAAGGUUUUUAUUUUUAAAAGAUUUUAAACAGAGUUUUUUUUACAUGAUGAUGUGCCAUGUGUCCUCUAACAUAGACAAACCCAUAACAUUUAGUAAGCUAUAAUAGACACAAACUCUCAGGAUAACAACAUAUAAGAGAAAGUUAAUUUGAGCUAAGCCAUGUAUACAAAAAAACAAAUUUGACAGACAGCAAACAAUGGCUUCUACUGGACUACACAAUCAUGGCUUGUUUACACAAUUUACGUGUUCUGGUUACCAGAUAGUUAUCAAAAAUAAUUAGGAUUUUAUUUUUGCUUUUCCUUUUAUUAAAAAUCAUGUUACAAAAGUUUUAAAAUAUGAAAAAAUAGAAAUAAAUCCUACAUAAAUUUUCCCUCUAUGAAAUUAAAUUAAAUUCAAAUAGAGAUCCUUUGCUGAUGAAACUUUAAAUCUAAACAGUUCGAAACACAAGAAUAUGUUUAAAAUUAAAGUUGUCUUUAAAUAAAAAUCAUCAUUAUUUAACAUUCAUUAAUGAGAAUUUAAACAAUAUAAAGUUUCAUGUCUUUAAAGCACAAUGCAAUAUUUCACUGACAAAUAAUUUAUUUUGCAAGCUUAUAGAAAGAUUACAUUUCCACA